UGGGGAAUUUUGGACAAUGGGGGCAACCCUGAUCCAGCAAUGCCGCGUGUGUGAAGAAGGCCUUCGGGUUGUAAAGCACUUUUGUUCGGGAAGAAAUCCUUCUGGCUAAUAUCUGGAAGGGAUGACGGUACCGGAAGAAUAAGCACCGGCUAACUACGUGC
rnacentral:rRNA from 1 species